AACGAACGCUGGCGGCACGCCUAACACAUGCAAGUCGAACGCCUUGUGGCAACACAGGGAGUGGCGGACGGGUGAGUAACGCGUGGGAACCUGCCCUAUGGUGCGGGACAACUCCGGGAAACCGGGGCGUAAUACCGCAUGUUCCGGGUCGCGAGAUCCGGCAAAGAUUUAUCGCCAUGGAGGGCCGCGUCGGAUUAGGUAGUUGGUGGGUAACGGCGUACCAAGCCUUCGAUCCGUAGCUGGUCUGAGAGGAUGGCCAGCCACACUGGGACUGAGACACGGCCCAGACUCCUACGGGAGGCGAGCAGU
rnacentral:rRNA from 1 species